rnacentral:lncRNA from 1 species
CAGGGAUGGGACCCGCAGGGCUCCCACCUCCGCUGAGUCGUGCCAGAGCUGGUCGGGCCCCGAGUCAGUAAUCGCAAAAAACAGCUACCAUUUUCUCAGCACUCUUGUGUACUCAGGAAGUGCUGGGCGUUCCCGCCGAAUCCUGAAUCAACAGCCCCAUAUCAGGAUCACUAACCCAUUUUGCAGAAGAGGACGUUGAGGCUCAGAGCCCUCUGCAGGUGGAUCCUGAGACCUAGCCCCCCAGUCUGGCCUCUCUGUCCCCGAAGAACCUGAAUGUGACAUUGGAGGCUCUUUCCAGUUCACACCCCACCCCUCAAGCUGUGGCCAUGCAAAUCUCUCUACUGUUUCCCCAAGCCUUUCUGCGUUCAGGGCGGUGCUCCCCUGAUCUUACACUCCCCCAGACUCUCGGUACCCUCUCUUCCUGCAAGAAGCCAUUGGAGUGGGCGCGGUGGCUCACGCCUGUAAUCCCAGCACUUUGGGAGACCAAGGCAGGCGGAUCACAAGGUCAGGAGUUGGAGCCAGCCUGGCCAAUAUGUUGAAACCCCGUCUCUACUAAAAAGACAAAAAUUAGCCAGGCGUGGUAUUGGGCGCCUGUAGUCCCAGCUACUC